CCUACGGGAGGCAGCAGUGAGGAAUAUUGGUCAAUGGCCGGAAGGCUGAACCAGCCAAGCCGCGUGAAGGACGAAGGUGCCAAGCAUUGUAAACUUCUUUUGUCAAGGGACAAAAUCAGGCUCGAGAGCCUGACCGAGGGUACUUGAAGAAAAAGCAUCGGCUAACUCCGUGCCCGCAGCCGCGGUAAUACGGAGGAUGCGAGCGUUAUCCGGAUUUAUUGGGUUUAAAGGGUGCGUAGGCGGACUGUUAAGUCAGCGGUAAAAGCCCGGGGCUCAACCCCGGCGAGCCGUUGAAACGGGCUGUCUUGAGAUGUCGAGAGGUAUGCGGAAUGCGCAGGGUAGCGGUGAAAUGCUUAGAUAUUGCGCAGAACUCCGAUUGCGAAGGCAGCAUACCGGCGGCGAUCUGACGCUGAGGCACGAAAGCGUGGGUAUCGAACAGGAUUAGAUACCCCUGUAGUC
rnacentral:rRNA from 1 species